AAGAGUAAGCGUGCGAUUGCGGAAUUUGGUUCAAAACCAGUUUUGAGGAAAGUCCGGGCUUCCAUGAAGAUCAGACUGCUGGAUAACCCCCAGUGCGAGCGAUCGCGAGGAUAGUGCCACAGAAAAAUACCGCCUAUUUAGCUAACGCUAGAUCUGGUAAGGGUGCAAAGGUGCGUUAAGAGCGUACCAGCAGAGUCGUGAGGCUCUGGCUCGGUAAACCCCAGUUGGAAGCAAGGCGAGAGGGGGCAAGUGUUGCGAUCUUCAAUCGAUCUUGCCCCCGUUGCUUGAUGUGGAUGUUUAGUGAAAGCUAGACAAUCGCAAUUAAGUGUGUGCCGCAUGAGGUAUUUGGUAACAAGUAUCCCAGAUAGAUAAUCGCUAAGGUAGUUGAUAAAACUCCUGAAACAGAACCCGGCUUAUGUCUUGCUCUUUCUA
rnacentral:RNase_P_RNA from 1 species